CAGCAGCCGCGGGAAUACGUAGGGUGCGAGCGUUAAUCGGAAUUACUGGGCGUAAAGCGUGCGCAGGCGGUUGUGUAAGACAGGUGUGAAAUCCCCGGGCUUAACCUGGGAACCGCGCUUGUGACUGCACAGCUAGAGUAUGGCAGAGGGGGGUGGAAUUCCACGUGUAGCAGUGAAAUGCGUAGAGAUGUGGAGGAACACCGAUGGCGAAGGCGACUAUCUGGGCCAACACUGACACUGAGGCACGAAAGCGUGGGGAGCAAACAGGAUUAGAGACCCCAGUAGUCCCUGUCUCUUAUAC
rnacentral:rRNA from 1 species